CGCAUGAGCGGCGGACGGGUGAGUAACGCGUGGGCAACCUGCCCUGUACAGGGGGACAACACCUAGAAAUAGGUGCUAAUACCGCAUAACGGGGGAGCCGCAUGGCACCCCCCUGAAAACUCCGGUGGUACAGGAUGGGCCCGCGUCUGAUUAGCUGGUUGGCAGGGUAACGGCCUACCAAGGCGACGAUCAGUAGCCGGCCUGAGAGGGCGGACGGCCACACUGGGACUGAGACACGGCCCAGACUCCUACGGGAGGCAGCAG
rnacentral:rRNA from 1 species